AUACGUAGGGGCGAGCGUUGUCCGGAAUGAUUGGGCGUAAAGGGCGCGUAGGCGGCGCGGUAAGUCUGGAGUGAAAGUCCUGCUUUCAAGGUGGGAAUUGCUUUGGAUACUGCCGCGCUUGAGUGCAGGAGAGGUUAUCGGAAUUCCCGGUGUAGCGGUGAAAUGCGUAGAGAUCGGGAGGAACACCAGUGGCGAAGGCGGGUAACUGGACUGCAACUGACGCUGAGGCGCGAAAGUGUGGGGAGCAAACAGGAUUAGAUACCCUGGUAGUCCACACUGUAAACGAUGAAUGCUAGGUGUAAGAGGUAUCGACCCCUUUUGUGCCGGAGUCAACACAAUAAGCAUUCCGCCCGGGGAGUACGGCCGCAAGGUUGAAACUCAAAGGAAUUGACGGGG
rnacentral:rRNA from 1 species